rnacentral:rRNA from 1 species
UACGUAGGUGGCAAGCGUUGUCCGGAUUUACUGGGUGUAAAGGGCGUGUAGCCGGGCUUACAAGUCAGAUGUGAAGUCCGGGGGCUCAACCCCCGAACUGCAUUUGAAACUGUAGGUCUUGAGUAUCGGAGAGGCAGGCGGAAUUCCUAGUGUAGCGGUGAAAUGCGUAGAUAUUAGGAGGAACACCAGUGGCGAAGGCGGCCUGCUGGACGACAACUGACGGUGAGGCGCGAAAGCGUGGGGAGCAAACAGG